rnacentral:rRNA from 1 species
GACGAACGCUGGCGGCGUGCCUAAUACAUGCAAGUCGAACGCACUGGGGACGGUUGAGUAACACGUGGGUAACCUCCCAUCAGAGGGGAUAACACUUGGAAACAGGUGCUAAACCGAUACUGGUUGAUGGACCCGCGGUGCAUUAGCUAGUUGGUGAGGUAAUGGCUCACCAAGGCGACGAUGCAUAGCCGGCCUGAGAGGAUGAUCGGCCACACUGGGACUGAGACACGGCCCGGACUCCUACGGGAGGCAGCAGUGGGGAAUAUUCGGCAAUGGACGAAAGUCUGACCGAGCAACGCCGCGUGAGUGAAGAAGGUUUUCGGAUCGUAAAACUCUGUUGUUAGAGAAGCGGUAUCUAACCAGAAAGCAACGGCUAACUACGUGCCAGCAGCCGCGGUAAUAC